GAUAUUUUGGCCGAGUGGUUAAGGCGACGGCCUGCUAAGCCAUUGGGCUAUGCCCGAGAGGGUUCGAAUCCCCCAGGUGUCG
rnacentral:tRNA from 1 species